rnacentral:sRNA from 1 species
GAUCUAACCCCUAGAAAUAGGAUAUGAUUAAAAAUCCGUCCAAAGUAAAAAACUCCUAGUCAGAGUUACUUUGGACGGUUAUAUCCCGAAAGGGAUAUAGGCAUUCCCUACGGGGCU